GCUGACACGCUGUCCUCUGGCGACCUGUCGCUGGAGAGGUUGGGCCUCUGGAUGCGUGCGGGGCUCUGGCCUACCGGUGACCCGGCUAGCCGGCCGUGCUCCUGCUUGAGCCGCCUGCUGGGGCCCGCGGGCCUGUGGUUCUCUCGCGCGUCCGAGCGUCCCGACUCCCGGUGCCGGCCCGGGUCCGGGUCUCUGACCCACCCGGGGGGCGGCGGGGAAGGCGGCGGGGGCCACCCUGCCCCCGUGCGCUCUCCGCUGCGGGCGCCCGGGGCGGCUGCGACAACCCCACCCCGCUGGCUCCGUGCCGUGCGUGUCAGGCGUUCUCGUCUCCGCUGGGUUGUCCGCCGCCCCUUCCCCGGGGUGGGGAGUUGGCCGGGGCCGAUCGGCUGGUCUGGCUGGCCGGCCGGCCGGGUGGCCGACCUCCGCUCCCGGGGGGCUCUUCGCGAUCGAUGUGGUGACGUCAUGCUCUCCCGGGCCGGGUCCGAGCCGCGCCGGGCGAGGGGCGGACGUUCGUGGCGAACGGGUCCGUUCUUCUCGCUCCGCCCCGCGGGGGCCCCUCGUCUCUCCUCUCCCCGCCUGCGGGUGGUGCGUGUGGGAAGGCGUGGGGUGCGGAACCCGGCCUGACCUCGGCGUCCCGCCCGCCGCCUUCUGCGUCGCGGGACGGGUCGGCGGGGUCCUCUGACGCGGCAGACACCCCUCGCUGUCGCCUCCCGUGGUUGUCGACUUGCGGGCGGGCCCCCUCCGCGGCGGUGGGGGUGCCGUCCCGCCGGCCCGUCGUGCUGCCCUCUCCGGGGGUUUGCUCGAGCGUCGGCUCCGCCUGGGCCCUUGCGGUGCUCCUGGAGCGCUCCGGGUUGUCCCUCAGGUGCCCGAGGCCGAGCGGUGGUGUGUCGUUCCCGCCCCCAGUGCCCCCCUCCUCCGGUCGCCACCGCGGUGUCCGCGCGUGGGUCCUGAGGGAGCUCGUAGGUGUGUGGGGUUCGAGGCGGUUGAGUGAGACGAGACGCGCCCCUCCCACGCGGGGAAGGGCGCCCGCCUGGUCCGGCGAGUGCACGUCCCGUGCUCCCCCUUGGCGGGUGCGCGCGGGCCGUGUGAGCGAUCGCGGUGGGUUCGGGCCGGUGACGCGUGCGCCGGCUGGCCGCCGAGGGGCUGCCGUUCCGCCUCCGACCGGUCGUGUGUGGGUUGACUUCGGAGGUGCUUUGCCUCAGAAGGAAGGAGGUGGGGGGACGGGGGGGGCCUCGUGGGGUUGCGCGCACGCGCGCACCGGCCGAGCCCCCGCCCUGACCGCGAACGCUCAAGGUGGCCGCACGCAGGUGUUUCCUCGUACCGCAGGCCCUCUCCCUUCCCCAGGCGUCCCUCGGCGCCUCUGCGGGCCCGAGGAGGGGUGGCUGGCGGUUGGGGAGUGUGACCCACCCUCGGUGAGAAAGCCUUCUCUAGCGAUCCGAGAGGUGUGCCUUGGGGUACCGGAUCCCCCGGACUGCCGCCUCUGUCUCUGCCUCUGUUAUGGUAGCGCUGCCGUAGCGACUCGCUCGCAGAGGACCCUCCUCCGCUUCCCCCUCGACGGGGUUGAGGGGGGAGAGCGAGGGUUCCGCCGGCCACCGCGGUGGUGGCCGAGCGCGGCUCGUCGCCUACUGUGGCCCGCGCCUCCCCCUUCCGAGUCGGGGGAGGAUCCCGCCGGGCCGGGCCCGGCGUCCUGGCGGGUUGGGACGUGGCGGCCGGCGAGCGGUGGUGGGUGUGUGCUGCGCGGUGUACCGUCCGGCGCGUGAGUCCCUCCGCCGUGAGUCGGCUCUCCGCCCGCUCCCCUGCCGAGUCGUGACCGGUGUCGGCGACCGCGUUUUGCGUGGCGUGGGGUCGGGCCGCCUGGGCCCUGGGAAAGCGUCCCGCGGUGGGGGCGCGCCGGUCUCCCGGAGCGGGGCCGGGCCGGAGGAUGGACGAGAAUCACGAGCGAUGGUGGUGCUGGCGUUGGGUUCGUGGCUGCGGUCGCUUCGGGGUCCCCGGUGGCGGGACCCCGGGGCUCGCGAGGCGGAUCUCGGUGGGGGGGCCGAGGGCCGUCCGGCGUCCCAGGCGGGGCGCCGCGGGACCGCCCUCGUGUCUGUGGCGGUGGGAUCCCGCGGCCGUGUUUUCCUGGUGGCCCGGCCGUACCCGAGGUUUCUCCCCCGAGCCGCCGCCUCUGUGGGCUCCUGGGUGCCCUUGCCCGUCUGUGCCCUCUUCCCUGCCCGCCGCCUGCCGAUUCCCCUCUUCUCCCCGAGCGGCUCACCGGCUUCCCGUCGGUUGGCGGCCCCGCCUGGGACCGAACCAGGCACCGCCUCGUGGGGCGCCGCCACCGGCCACUGGUUGGCCCGGUGUCCGCGUCCCCCGGCGCGCGCCUUCGGGACCGGGUCGGUGGCGCCCCGCGUUGGGGCCCGGUGGGCUUCCCGGAGGGUUUCGGGGGUCGGCCUGCAGCGCGUGCGGGGCGAGAGAGGGUUCUGGGGAACCGGCCGCGACUGCGGCGGCGGUGGGGGGGGAGCCGCGGGGGUCGCCGAGGGCCGGUUGGCCGCUCCGGGUGCCGCGCGGGGCCGCCUUCGCGCUCGGAGGCUGCCGGCGGUGAGACCCCCGCGUGUGUCCCGGCCGCGGUCGGCUGCGCUCGAGGGGUCACGUGGCGUCCCCCUUCCCCGCCGGCCGCCUUUCUCGCGCCUUCCCCGUCGCCUCGGCCUCCUCGCCCGUGGUCUCUCGUCUUCUCCCGGCCCGCUCUUCCGAACCGGGUCGGCGCGUCCCCCGGGUGCGCCUCGCUUCCCGGGCCUGCCGCGGCCCUUCCCUGAGGCGUCCGUCCCGGGCGUCGGCGUCGGGGAGAGCCCGUCCUCCCCGCGUGGCGUUGCCCCGUUCGGCGCGCGCGUGCGCCCGAGCGCGGCCCGGUGGUCCCUCCCGGACAGGCGUUCGUGCGAUGUGUGGCGCAGGUCGACCCUCCGCCUUGCCGGUCGCUCGCCCUCUCCCCGGGUCGGGGGGUGGGGCCCGGGCCGGGGCCUCGGCCCCGGUCGCGGUCCCUCGUCCCGGGCGGGGGCGGGCGCGCCGGCCGGCUUCGGUCGCCCUCCCUCGGCCGUCGUGUGGCGUGUGCCACCCCUGCGCCCGCGCCCGCCGGCGGGGCUCGGAGCCGGGCUUCGGCCGGGCCCCGGGCCCUCGACCGGACCGGUGCGCGGGCGCUGCGGCCGCACGGCGCGACUGUCCCCGGGCCGGGCACCGCGGUCCGCCUCUCGCUCGCCGCCCGAACGUCGGGGCCGCCCCGCGGGGCGGGCGGAGCGCCGUCCCCGCCCCGCCGCCGCCCACGGGCGCCAGCCGCGCGCGCGCGUGUGGCCGCCGGUCCCUCCCGGCCGCCUCCUCGCGGGCGGGCGCGACGAAGGGUCGCGGGUCCGUGGCGUGAGCCCGGCGUGGGGCGGUGGCUGUGCCGUGCGGGGCGGGUGGUUGGGGUGUCCGGUUCGCCGCGCCCCGCCCCCGCCGCCACGGUCCCGGCCGCCGCCCCGCGCCCGCCCGCCGGCUGGCUCGCUCCCUCCCCGUCCGUCCGUCCGUCGUCCUCCUCGCUUCCGGGGCGCCGGGCCCGUCCUCGCGAGGCCCCCGGCCGGCCGCGUCGGGGCCUCGCCGCGCUCUACC
rnacentral:misc_RNA from 1 species